UACGAAGGGUGCAAACGUUGCUCGGAAUUAUUGGGCGUAAAGCGCACGUAGGCGGUAUUGCAAGUCGGAUGUGAAAUCCCUCGGCUUAACCAAGGAAGUGCAUCCGAAACUGCUGUACUUGAGUACGAAAGAGGAUCGCGGAAUUCCCGGUGUAGAGGUGAAAUUCGUAGAUAUCGGGAGGAACACCAGUGGCGAAGGCGGCUCUCUGGGACGGUACUGACGCUGAGACGCGAAAGCGUGGGGAGCGAACAGG
rnacentral:rRNA from 1 species